CAAACAUUUCUGAGCGGUACUGCGCGCGCUUCUUCACACACACGUUCUCCAAAUAUGGUCGGCCCCGCCCACUUCCUCGUCCUCAUUAGGAACGAUAUCAGCAGCAAUAUGAAAAUAUGCGUAUUAAGUGGAAACUUCACACGGACAGACGAUCAGAAGACUGUUUACAGGAGAUACCGACUCGAGGAGAUUGUUUGCAGGAGAUUCUAAAGUUGUGCAGAGGAAAACGUGAAAUACAAGAUUGAAAUGCCACCACGAAUCAGCCCUCUUAAGGAUGCCAUGCAUCAUGUUGUCAUGAAGUCUGACAAAACUAAAUUAGAGGUGAAGUACAUCAAUGCGGUGAAAGGACGUGGAUUAUUUACAAAUGGUUCCUUUAGCAAAGGAGAUUUUAUUGUGGAGUACAGGGGUGAGUUGAUCAAUUAUGCAGAGCUGGAGAGAAGAAGAAAACUCUACCACCCAUCCUGUGCUGUUUUUAUGUUCGAGUUUAAGUGGAGAGGGAAAACAUGGUGGUAAGAAGUCACAUUGCAUCAGAGCUAUAUUCCUUGUGUUAUACUAUAGUAAAUAAGGCCGCGUUUACACUGCACGACUUCAUGACCAAUUCUGAUUUUGU
ensembl:lncRNA